GGGGAUUUGGCUCAGCGGUAGAGCACUUGCCUAGCAAGCACAAGGCCCUGGGUUCAGUCCCCAGCUCCG
rnacentral:tRNA from 1 species